ensembl:snRNA U2 U2 spliceosomal RNA
ACUGCUUCUCGGCCUUUUGGCUGAGAUCAAGUGUAGUCUGUGUUCUUAUCACUUUAAUAUCUGAUAUGUCCUCUAUCCGAGGACAAUAUAUUAAGUGCAUUUUUGGAGCAGGGAAAUGGAGUAGGAGAUUGCUCCAUCCACUCCACGCAUCGACCUGGUAUUGCAGUACAUCCAGGAAUGCUGAACCCCCU